CAGGAUUCAGUCGGGGUCAUAUCUCAGCACUGGUUGGUUCACACUCAUUCUGGCCAUGGACAUGUGCAAGGAGAUCCGAGUCUACGGCAUGAUCAAUGACACAUACUGCAAAUCAGAAGGCUACAGGAAGGUGCCGUACCACUACUAUGAAGCAGGAAGUCGCGACGAAUGUGCCGAAUACCUCUUGCAUGAGAGCGCCCCUUAUGGUGGCCACCGGUUCAUCACAGAGAAGGCUGUUUUUGCAAAGUGGGCUAAGACGCACCCUAUCAAGUUUUUAAACCCCGAGUGGCAGCUGUCAUGACCAGGACUCCCAUUCAUUCAGAAUAUCCCUUGAUACUACAGCUCUAUUGGCUUGUCCCUCCUGCAUUGUAAAGUAAUACUCACAAUGGCUAAACAAAUCAUUCCAAAUGCAAUUUCAAAUGGAAGUUGUCUAGAUUUCAAACAGUGAAGUUAGAAUCCUGUCGUGACCACGAGGAGAGGUUUCUAAUGAGACUUGUGUUGAUCCUGGUGUGAUCAAAUAGUGGAUUUUGCAUGGUCUAUUUUAUUCUCAUCUGGAUAAUCAAGUAGUGUAUGUUUUCCAGACGCACACGUAUUGCAGAAUAGAUCUACAAAGAACGUCACAUCCUUGCUUUAGCUUUUAUUACCUUGAAGGGGCUCACUUUAGGGCUGGUUGAUAUACCAAAUUAUUUAUAAAGUUAUAUUUCAGUAUUUUUCAGCUUUUUGAUUAUAUUUUCUAUAUAUUUUUAUUUAUAUAUUUGCUCUUAAAUGGGUUCACAUUUUUGCAUUUAAAGACACAAUGAAAGUUGAAUGAAAAAAGUGCAAAGUUUAGAUAAUUUUUUUUAAAGUUACACUUUUUUUUAGACUGCUUUUUCACUUAGAAACGAUUUCAACUAAACAUCCAUUGUAGCCCCUUAGAUUUAAAAGGAUCUAAUGAAGUUUAGACUUUAGUAAUGCUACUAAAUCAGAUAAAACAUUUCUGUUGAAACAUUCUCAUACACGAGUUUGACAGUCUUUAGAAAAAUAAAAAAUUAAUAGCCAAAUCAGAAUCACAUUAUCUAACUGCUGCUUAUUUUUAUAUUUCCUGCAUCAUAAUUGUGCAAAUUUGAUAUAUCUUCCAGCCCUAGUUUCAUAUAUAUUAUUAUUUUAUGCUUAUUUUUAUUACCAUAUUAUGGUUAUUCUUGUCUCAUAGACAAGCACUGAACUGAAACAGAUCUUAGGAAAACAGUCUCUGUCAAAAGUUUUACUUUCAUAAAAAAAAACUACUAAAAUCAUUAGCCCAAAAUCUUAAACAUUUUUCACUACACCGCUGACAUCACUUUGGAAACGUAACAUUGAAAGCUUUCUUUGAGCAGCUUAAUAGGUAAUUCAGGAAUUUAUUAUUCCCAUUUUUUAUUUAUUCCCUGAACAAAAGAAUUCAUAUGCAUUUGUUGAUCUGAGACUGUAGAAUACAAAGUGAUAUUCUGUUGUUACGUGCCAUGACAAGAACACGGCAUUGCUUACGAUAACUAGGUCUGCUGUUGACAAAAAACAUGAGGAACGGUUCAGAAUGAGUGAAUUCAGCUGUCAAGACUGUGCCUGUAUGAAGUGUAGCAUAUGUUGACUGUUCAAAGCAACCAAUCCUUAAUUUUUUAUGCCUUAUUUGCUUGCUUUUAAAAUGACACACCUGUCCACCUCCUGUCAGUAUUCUGUAUUCCCAUGAGAUGAACCUACAUCAUCUCUGUUGUCAGAUCAGCAGGUUAAUUUGAUCAGCUACUGUAGCUAAUGUCAUACUAUGUCGUAGCAUCAUAUGAACCAGCAGACAAUGCAGCACCCUUGGGGCUCCCCUACUGCUUCGAGACAUCCACUGCGCUUCACCUUGUUUUUUUCCCCAUCAAACUAAGCAUGCACUCUUUUUGCAUGUAUAUCAAGAACAUUCAUCAUAGCCGAUACUGUGCGUAACAAGUUUUCGUAUCAGCUUGUGAUUCUGACAUCAUCUGGCAGCUCAGCCCGGACAGCCUUUUUCUUCUAAUGCACCACUGCGUGCAUGUUUGACCAGCACUGCGGCAUCGUGUUAGCACCAUCACAGUUUUUUCCCUGGAGAAAAUGAUGGAUGCACUGGCUGUGUGGAGAGAGAAUUAUAUAUGGCAUGAGAAUAUGAGACUGAGACACAGAACAGAAGGCAGGUGCCAGUGCUGGAGCAAUUUGAUGAGAUACUGCUCACACCUCUGGCCAACCUGUUCAUUAAAACAAUUGAUGUCAGCUCAAUCUCUCAAAGUACUGACCCAGGAUCGUCAUUUUCUGGCCUCUGUAUUGAUUAUAUUCACCAUGUGACAUAAACCAGAGCUGGUCAAGUAAUGGCGCUUUCAUUUUCGAUGUAUUUUUUAUUUUAGCUUCUGUUGUUCAUGCCUCAGUCAUACCUGAUUUUCUCACGAUAUACGCUUCAUGACCAAAAGUAUGUGGACAAUGCAAAAAAAUCAUUUUUAGCAGUAAUCUUGUCUUCUUUUCCCUUAAAAAAAAAAUAAAUAAAUAAAAAUAAAUAAAUACGUUUACUGGAAAAACUAAAUAGUGUAAGAUAAUUGUUUUCAUAUUUUGCUUAUUAUUUUCAUAGUUCCAGGACAUACUGUAGGCUAGAAUGUGAUUCCGAAGAACAGUAAUCACAACAGUGUGGUGACUGACUGACAGCCACGCAUACUCCUCAAAACAUUAGAUUCAUCCACGCUUUAGCCAUGCCAACGCACUACCCAUGCAAGGAAGAUAAUUCGCCAAAUAGCUGCAAUUGCAGGUUUUCAAACAGAGAUGGUGACAUAUAGGCAAAACUUACGGACUGCAGCUUUAAGCAUAAACCUCACUAAAUAUGUUUAUAUUUAUGCUGCCUUCACGUGCUAUCGUAGUUAAAUAUGAGCUUCCUAGUUGGAACUUGGACAUAAACAGCUUUAGAGAAGCCUUAUAUGUCCAAUUUUCGACUAGGAAACUUGUGUUUAUGAUCAAUCCAAUAGCACAUGAAGGCACCAUUUGAAAUAUAAUGUAUCUUUUUAAGACUUAUUUACCUUUUUAUAUUUAUUUACGACCAUGUACAGAAAUUUUUUAUAGAAAAAAAAGACAAAAAUACCCAUAUGUGCUUGUUUUAAAGCCAUUGGCAUUAAUCUGGAGGUGGUUCUUCCUUUGCUGCUAUAACAGCUUCCACUCUAGGAAGGCUUUCCAACAGAUGUUGGAAUAUAGAUGCAGGGAUUUGCUUCUAUUCAGACGCAGGAGCAUCUGUGCGGUCAGGUGCUGAUGUUGGGUGAUGAGGUCUGGCUCACUCAGACUUCCAAAAUUAAUUGCAGUGGUGUUCAGUGGGAUUCGUGUCAUGCUUUGUGAAAGCCACUCAAGUUUUUUCAUCAUCCUUUCUUUGUACACAGUGACAAGAACAGAAAAACAGAACAUUUUCAUCUGAGGAAAUUGCAUGGUUGUUUUCUGGUUUUUAUUAUAGCUUCAUAGUAACGAGUGCAGCUGAAAUAGCUACACUUGUUAACUGGAAGUGGGUGUCCACAUGCUUAUGGUCAUGUUGUGUUUUGUAUAUCAGAACUACGAAAGGAGAGUUCUCUUAUCUCAGUCUCAUGAUCUGCUUGAUGCAGUCAAUGCCUUUCCACAGAUCUGCAGCAGCUUUAGCGCUUCAGCACAAGCAUGUGAAUGUUGACUUGUCACCCAGAUGCCGACUGAGUCAAAAUUCAGCAAAUUUUGUGUUUUUGUUUUUGUUUUUGCAUCGCUUUUGCAUUGAGCACGUCCUAAUAGUUUGUUUCUUUAUUAAAUGUCGUAUAGUAAGUGCUUUUCUUGAGCCUUUAUAAAGGGUGCAAGCUUGAGGUGUAGACUUUAUAUUUUUUUUCUUGCAGCCUGAAGUGUCCUUUUUAACUUGCUUUUAUCCUUCAUUCCAGUUAUUGUAUUUUUUCUGCAUUUUUUUUUCUUUUUUUGCUUAUGUCCUCACAUAAUUAAGGUUUUGGCCAUUCACUGCAAUCAGAAGUGUCUGCUUUUUUCUCCCUCCAGGUGAUGAGUGUUUCCCUCCAAUAUACAGUGCUUUCCAAAAGUAACGAUCCCACUAACAAGUACACAAUUGCCAUACAAUUGGCCUCUAACUGUGACUCAUUGAAAUUACUUCCAGAUUUUUCUGUAGGGGUGGGGGUUUGUGGGGGGAUUUUGAAGUGAUCAUCUUUCAAAUUCUUAUUCUGAUUGACAUAAAAAAAUAUAGUAAAGCAUUACAAUUAAGCAAGAACAAAUGCUUAGAUAAGGUGAAGAUUAUUGUCAUGUUAUGCUGCCAGACCGAACACGGAGGCAUGCAUAAUCAACCAACCAACCAACCCAGGGAACAGGAGGUUGACACACGUACAGGUACAUCAGUUGUAGACACGACAGAGACAGACUGCACAAGACUAGGACUUAUAUACAGGGGAUGAUUGGGUAAACAUACUGUAGGUGCAUGGGAUGAUAAUCAAACUAAUUAACAAAACGAGGACAGGAACAUGACCAAAUAAGGUAACAGAAACAGUGGCAAUACAUGACAUAUACAGUCCAUGAUCCUGACAGUUAUACAUAUCAUAAUAGCAUGUAAGCAUUUUUAGCAUUUGAUUUUUAUAGUGGUGUAAACUCGCUAUGAUGCUAGGUCAUUCCAAGCUAUCUUGCCUAGGUAUUGUGAGUGAUUCAUGGUUGCAUACUGACCUUUAGAAAAAAAAUCAACACAUUUUGAUGCCGUUCAGAUCUUGCAGUUUUAAUAUAAUUUGAAUUUUUGCAUUUUUUUUUUUUUUUUUUUUGAAUCUGAUGGGUAAAAAAAAUCGUAGAAUUACUUAAUACUUACAUUGUAAAAUCUUGAAAUCUUUACAAUUUUCAAAAUGUAAAGUUUUAUUGGCUUUAAUUUUUAAGUAAAAUCUAAGAGGUCCCAAAGUUAGAACUUGCAGUGGAAAGCAGAUUACACUUUUAAUUGAUUAUCAAUAGAUGUAUGAUAAGUUACAAAAAUGAUAUACAUGGAAGAAAUAAGUUGAGUAGAUAGCAUCCUGCUAUGGAGAUUUUUUUUAAAGCAAAGACUUGGCAUCUUGGUAAAAAGAAAGAAGAGUGGAUAAUAUCUUUUAGCUUGAAAAUGAUUGAACAAUGGAGUGGCCUAAGAGGUGAAUUUUCUACAAAGGCACCGUUAAAGUCGUGAUCUCAGUCCAAUUGUGAAACUCUGGUGCAAUUUCAAAAUCAUUAGUGCGCAAAAGUCACUGACUAACCUGAAAUAUCAAUCUGCCUGGGGAAAAUGUGACAAAAUUAUACCCUGUUACAGCAGUGAAAUCUGGUACCACAAAAGACACUUAUAGAGCCAGCUUUGCAUCUUUUCAAUGCUAGCUUUAUAAUAUACUCAAAUGUACAGUAUAGACUGAAUACACCAUUUUUAUUAAAAACACAUUUUCUUUCCAAUUGAAUUUGUACCUCAGUAUUUCAAGAUAACUAUUUCAGGAUCUGAAAACCUUUGCAAAGCACUGUAUUAUCAUGUGUUUGAGCAUGGAAACUGGCCUGGAAAGUAUUUCACAAUGUUGAUCUGUAAAAAUCAGUCAUGUUGUAUAAACGAUUUUGUGGUGUGUACAAAAUAUGUCUGGUCUUCAUUGCAAAAGUGAUGAAUUCAAACUGCUUUAGAUAAUAAUUACAUUAUAUUUAUUUAGUUUAUUUAGUAAUUAGCAGCAGUGCACAAUCAAAUAGGGAGCAGCUAGUUUGACUUUUUGAUUCGUUUAUUGAUCAAACAAUUUUGCUAGGAAUUUAAUCGGUGUAAAGUAAUUACUCCGUAUUGUCAUUUCCUGUUUCUUCUCUUCUUUGGUGUCAGAGAAUGUGUAAAUAUCAUCAUUACAUUAGAGAGGACUGAAUAAGAUUCUUUUUUUGUUUGUUUGUUUGUUUUGAUUUGAAAAGAUUUAAAAGGAUGAAAAAUUUUAAAUAAUGCUAAAAAUGUAUCCUUUUGUGUUCCACUGAAAAAAAUAGCAAAGGUAAUUGCAAUGAAAUAAUGACAGAUUUUUCAUUUUAUUGGUGAGCAAUUUUUUUGUGUUGUAAAAUAUACACUACUGGUCAAACGUUUGGAAUUCUUAA